GUGGUUUCUUUUACAGCAAAGCUUUUUAUUUUGAUGUAGUCACAUUUGUCUGUUUUUCCCUUUGUUUUUCUUGCCCUUGGAGAUGUAUUGGCAACAAUUCUACUGUGUGAGAUGUAUGAGAUUUUACUGCCUAUAUUUUCUUCUAAAAUUUUUA